rnacentral:rRNA from 1 species
CAGUAGCCGCGGUAAUACGAAGGGUGCAAGCGUUAAUCGGAAUUACUGGGCGUAAAGCGUGCGUAGGCGGUUUGUUAAGUCUGCUGUGAAAUCCCCGGGCUCAACCUGGGAAUGGCAGUGGAUACUGGCAAGCUAGAGUGUGUCAGAGGAUGGUGGAAUUCCCGGUGUAGCGGUGAAAUGCGUAGAGAUCGGGAGGAACAUCAGUGGCGAAGGCGGCCAUCUGGGACAACACUGACGCUGAGGCACGAAAGCGUGGGGAGCAAACAGGAUUAGAUACCCGUGUAGUCCCUGUCUCUUAUAA